ACUGGAUGGCAAUCCCUGGUGGAUCCCUGCAAGUGGGGGCUGUGGGCCUCUUUGUCUGGAUUCUCCACCAUGUUUCUACUUCCAAGUUGCCCUGGCCUCAUCUGUCCUGCAAAUGAGGAAGGAGAGAUUGGAUGUUGAAGACAAGGCAUUUUAUGGGUGGGCAAAAGCAAUCAAGCUAAAUGACCGCCUUGGUGUCAGGAACGCAAGCCAAUCAACAGUAGCCUCCACACCAGGAGUCUCCCUUUGCUACGUUUACAGCAAAGAACAAGGCGGGUUCCUGGAAUGAGCUCAGAGGAGGGAAAAGAAAGACGAGAAGGCAUCGCCUGAAACGUCGGGUUCAAGCCUGAGCUCCCAGUUGGCAGAGGUCUUUCCCAGGAAGCACGUCUGUGUGUGGUGCAGCAGCCCGCAGCCGGGUGGUUCCUGGAUCGCGGCUCCUCUCCUCCUCCAGCUGGCCCCCUGGCACCAGCACCAGCUGCUCCCGUCUGGGAAUGCGAUGCCCAUCAUCGCCAGUUUGUUCUUCAGUCAGUCUGGCCUGCUUGAGAGGAAAAUCACUGGUGUUCCUUCCUUCCUCCCAUGUUGAACAGUCACUUUUAUUUUUAUUUUUUGAACCACCCUUCACACCAAGGCCAGCCCUGUGCCAAUUGUACAGCAGACCAUUUGUUUGUAAGCAUUUAUUUUCAUUGCUUAUUUUUUCUUAGUGCCCAGAACUCACCCUAGUCUUUUCUUCUUGCUCCAAAUGUCUGGGGCAUCAUGUUUUCUUAGGACUACCAGGAACAUCUUCACACGUAUCCCUUUCCUAGCAGCUGCUUUAAAAGUUGCCAUCUUUUUUCUCAUUCUACCACAUUCCAGCCACGAUAUCAGGUACAAUUGCUACAAAAAUAAACAAGUCAUAGGCCCUGUACUUACGGUACACACACUUUCAAGAGGCAGCUAGGUAAGAAUACCUAGCAUCACUAAUAGAUGCAAAGGAAUGAGACAGUGUGUCAUAUUGGAAGAAGUGUCCAAUGGCAAAGUAUAUAAAGGCCCUAGAUACAUGAAAGGAUUUUCUGGAAAGGCCACUAAGGAAAAGUACUCUACAGGUAGGGGUUAGAGUGAGCUUAAUGUAGGGGCUGUUGCAAGUCCCCUCAAAAGCUAUGUGAGAUGAGAACACAGAUUUGAAAUUUAGGAAAGAUUUUUGAAUCAGGAAAUAAGAAAUAAGUCAUGAAAUAAGAGUACAAAAAUAAUACCAGAAAUCUACAUAAGGGAUUGAGUAGCCUAGGUAGUGUAAAUAGGAGCCAGAUUUGGAAGAUAUUUAGGAAAAGACAUUGCAUGUUUGGUGAUUGCUUGUACUCACAUUUGAGGAGAUGGUGAAGGAGGUGGGAAAUUCAGAAUACAGUACCUCUGCGGACUGUGUUGAAGGCAGGGGCAUAGUAAUGCCUUCCCCGGGAUGUGGAAAACACAAAAUAGAAUUGACUGAAGACUUUUAUUUGGUGGUAGUAGGUGUAAAUGAGGCGUGA